GAUGAACGCUGGCGGCGUGCCUAAUACAUGCAAGUCGAGCGAACGGACGAGAAGCUUGCUGCUCUGAUGUUAGCGGCGGACGGGUGAGUAACACGUGUAUAACCUACCUAUAAGACUGGGAUAACUUCGGGAAACCGGCGCUAAUACCGGAUAAUAUUUUGAACCGCAUGGUUCAAAAGUGAAAGACGGUCUUGCUGUCACUAAUAGAUGCUUCCGCGCUGGUUUGGCUAGUUGUUAAGGUAACGGCUUACCAAGGCAAGGAGGCAUAGCCGACCUGAGAGGGUGAUCGGCCACACUGGAACGGAGCCACGGUCCAGACUCCUACGGGAGGCAGCAGUAGGGAAUCUUCCGCAAUGGGCGAAAGCCUGACGGAGCAACGCCGCGUGAGUGAUGAAGGUCUUCGGAUCGUAAAACUCUGUUAUUAGGGAAGAACAUAUGUGUAAGUAACUGUGCACAUCUUGACGGUACCUAAUCAGAAAGCCACGGCUAACUACGUG
rnacentral:rRNA from 1 species